GUCGUAUAAGGACGUACCCACACGAACGCUCUACAUAUGUAUAUGUAUAUCGGUAUAAGGAGUGAAAAACAGUGAAUACGGAAAACAACAGUGCGCCAUCCCACGAUAAAGCAAAACAUUUUUUAUAUCUUUUUUCUCAAAUACAACAAAUGAAGUUUAAUUCGACAAACCAACAGUGAGACAUUCAACAAGUGAACACACAUUUCGAUCAAUAACAACAACACAGGAUAAAGGAAUUAUAAUCCACUGCAGGAGUGAAAAACAGUGAAUACGGAAAACAACAGUGCGACAUCCCACGAUAAAACAAAACUGUCAAAAGAAAUACGUUUAGAACAUAGACGUAGAGGACAACUUUCGCCUGAACUCAGACCCACUCGCACUACCAUAAUUCCAAAUUCCAAAAAUUCUUCGGACAUGAAAUUCGGACAUGAAAGAAUUAUGAUAGAUAUUGCUGCAGCUUUAACAAACUCUUUACUUUCAACUUCAACCAGUGAUGGCAUGCCUAGCGAAAUAAAGCAAUAUCUAGAUCAGCCUAUAAUACUCAGAAAAGAGAAUCCAACAAAAUUCUGGUUUGAUUGUCGUCAUUUUACCCCAGUCCUUUCCGACAUAGCUCUAAAGUAUUUGAUAUCGCCUGCGUCCUCGGUUUCCUCGGAGAGGGUGGCAUCUGCUGUGAAUCUCGCAGUACGCAAUAACAGAAGUCGGUUUACAGCCGAGCACGUAAAUCAAAGAGUUUUUCUUAUGUCUGUAUCAGAUAAAUGUUGGUUUGAUUAAUAAAUAAAUAAUGUGUUAA